rnacentral:sRNA from 1 species
AUCUAGGCCCGAUAGCAGCAUGUAUCCUUUUAUGGCGGUGUUCGCCAAAAAAGAUACUGCGUACAGCGGGGCAACUG